rnacentral:rRNA from 1 species
GACGAACGCUGGCGGCGUGCUUAACACAUGCAAGUCGAACGGAGUGGCGAACGGGUGAGUAACACGUGGGUGACCUGCCCUGCACUUCGGGAUAAGCCUGGGAAACUGGGUUUAAUACCGGAUAGUGUGGGAUGGGCGCGGGGCCUAUCAGCUGGUAGGUGGGGUAAUGGCCUACCAAGGCGGCGACGGGUAGCCGGCCUGAGAGGGUGGACGGCCACAUUGGGACUACGAGACGGCCCAGACGGCAACGGGAGGCAGUGGUGGGGAAUAUGGCAGAAUAGGCGGAAGCCUGAGGCAGAGGCGCCGGGUGGGGGAUGACGGCCUUCGGGUUGUGAACACCUUUCACCGUCGACGCGGUAGAUGGAGAAGAAGCACCGGCUAACUCCGUGCCAGCAGCCGCGGUAACAC